GCGGACGUAGUUCAGUGGUAGAAUGUCUGCUUCCCAAGCAGAAGGUCGCGGGUUCGAAUCCCGUCGUCCGCU
rnacentral:tRNA from 2 species